ACUCAUUAAAUUAAGGGCGUAUGGAGGAUGCCUUGGCAUAUAAAGGCGAAGAAAGUCGUGGCGUGCCUGCGAUAAGCUUCGGGGAGCCGGCUAGCGGGCUUUGAUCCGGAGAUUGCUGAAUGGGGAAACCCUACUGUGCAAACCACAGUAACCCGAUCGUUUAAAAGCGAUUGGGGGCAGACCUGGCGAAGUAAAACAUUCUAGUAGCCAGAGGAAAAUAAAUCGAACAGAUUCCGUAAGUAGCGGCGAGCGAAAGCGGAACAGCCUAAACCUGCGCUUCACUUUCACGAAGUGAAAGUGAGCUUAUAUUCAAAUAUUUAAAUAUUGCAAUAUUAGCUUCACUUUCGUUUCACGAAAGUGAAGCGUAGGGGUAAUAGGGAUAGAACAUUUGAAUUUUUAACAUUGAUUUUUCGAAGUCAGUGUUAAAGAUUUGAGAGAAGUUACAAAUUGGAUUGUUAGCAGAACGGCCCUGGAACGGCCGACCAAAGAAGGUGAAAGUCCUGUACGCGAAAACAACUCCAACUUCUGUUUUGUUACCUGAGUAGCUCGGGAUCAGAAUGUCCUGAGUGAAUUUGCCCAUACUACUGGGUAAGGCUAAAUACUUUAUGUGACCGAUAGUGAACCAGUACCGUGAGGGAAAGGUGAAAAGAACCCCGGAGAGGGGAGUGAAAUAGUAACUGAAACCAUAUGCCUACAAAGAGCCGGAGCCUUUCUUGCAGUUUACUGCAGGCGGGGUAACGGUGUGCCUAUUGAAGAAUGACCCAACGAGUUUAUCUAAACGACACCUAUAAGCUCCAAAAGAGCGGAUGGAUAGGGAAACCAAGUGUUAAAAGCGCGCCUAGAACUAAAAAAUUGGCAGCGAAUUUAUUCGCAGCUAGUUAUUUAGCUCUUAUGUCGUUUGGAUAAGACCCGAAGCCAGAGCGAGCUAACCAUGACCAGGAUGAAGCUUUGAGAAAUCGAAGUGGAGGUCCGAACCAAUUGGUAGCGCAAUACCACCGGAUGAGUUGUGGUUAGAAGUGAUAAGCUUAUCGAGCCUGGUAAUAGCUGGUUCUCUCCGAAAUGCGUUUAGGCGCAGCGGUAUUAAGUAAUGUGGGGGGUAGAGCACUGAGUGGUUUGUCGUGCCCUUUUGGGUAGACUUACCAAACAAACUCCGAAUACCCACAUGAAUAUUGAUACCAGUGAGUGCGUGGGGGCAAAGCUUCACGUACGCGAGGGAAAGAGCCCAGAUCAUAAAUUAAGGUCCCUAAAUCUAUGCUAAGUGUGAAAGGAAGUGUUUUGCCUUUGACAGGUAGGAUGUUGGCUUAGAAGCAGCCAUCAUUUAAAAAGUGCGUAAUAGCUUACUACUCGAUCCGCCUUAAGUGGCGGAAGGCAAGAUGCGCCAAAAAUGUAACGGGGCUAAGCAUAGUACCGAAAUUAUGGAUUCGUCGUGAUUCGUCAUGACGAGUGGUAGGAGAGCAUUUUCAACUGCUGUGAAGGCCGACUGUGAAGUCGACUGGAGCGUUGAGAAGGGAGAAUGUUGGGAUGAGUAACCGCAAUUGUGAUGAAAACUCACAACGCCGCAAGCCUGAGGUUUCCUCCGCGAUGACAAUCAUCGGAGGGUUAGGCGAUCCUAAGGAUAACCGUGCUUUCGAGCACGGGAAGCCGAUGGACAGCCGGUUAAUAUUCCGGCCCCGCUUUUAGAUUUGAAGGGAUGACGGAUGACAUGAGAUCGAGCGCAUUAUUGGAUUUGACGUUUUCCAUUUGUAGAGUUGUCUGCCAGGCAAACCCGGCAGAUGCCGCAAGGCAAACUCAAAUUUGGAAGAAAUCAUCGCAAGAUGAAAUUCGAUUGAAGAGCGUUCCAAGAAAAGUCCCUACGAUUAAUCUAAGAGCGAUCGUACCGCAAAACCGACACAGGUAGGCUGGUAUAAAUGUACCAAGGCGAACGGGUGAUUAUUGGCUAAGGAACUCGGCAAAAAAGUGGUCGUACCUUCGGUAUAAGACCUGCCCAACGCAAGUUGGGCUGCAACAAAAGAGCCCCUGGCGACUGUUUAUCAAAAACACAACUCCGUGCUAAGCCGAAAGGCGCCGUAUACGGGGUGACGCUUGUCCGGUGCCGGAACGUUAACGGUUGAAGUGAUAUGGAGCAAUCUGUAUUGCAGAAGCCCGAAGCGCCGGUGAACGACGGCGAUAACUAUAAUCGUCUAAAAGUAGCGAAAUACCUUGUGGGGUAAGUUCCCACGCGCAUGAAUAGCGGAACGACUGGGGGACUGUCUCAGCCAAUAGCCCGGUGAAAAUGCAAUGUCAGUAAAGAUGCUGACUACCCGCACCAAGACGGAAAGACCCCGGAAGCUUCACUGUAGCUUGGUAUUGGUCUACGAGUUGUUAUACGUAGCGUAGUGAGUAGCCUUUGAAGCCAUGUUCUCGGAUAUGGUGGAGGCGCCAAUGAAACACUCAUUUUAACGAUUUGUAGCUCUAACCGGUGUGACCCUAAAAGGUUGCAAAAUAAAAAGCUAAAGUAAGCUCCUGGAAUGGAGUUAUUUUAGGUUUUUAUCAAUUGUAUCUUUUUUGGGUUACAUCGAGACAGUGCCUGGCAGGCAGUUUAAGUGGGGCACUUGCCUCCCAAAAAGUAAUGGAGGCGUACAUCAAGGUCGGCUAGCUGCGGAUGGAAAUCGCAGCGAUAGUGCAAACGCAAAAGCCGGCUUAACUGCAAGACGGAUGUGUCGCGCAGAUACGAAAGUAUGUGUUAGUGAACCGACUCUUGCUCGUAGGAGCGGAGAAGAUCACCAGAUAAAAGCUACUCCGGGGAUAACAGGCUGGUACUACCCGAGCGUCCAUAGCGACGGUAGUGUUCGGCACCUCGAUGUCGGCUCGACCUAUCCUGGGACUGAAGAAGGCCCCAAGGGUUUGGCUGUUCGCCAAUUAAAAGGUUACGCGAGCUGGGUUCAAACCGUCGUGAGACAGGUUGGUCCAUAUCUGGUGCGGGCGUUGAUACUUGAGGAGGGUUGUCCUUAGUAAAGUAUUGCUACUUCGCGAAGUAAUUCGCGAUGACAAUUCGGCUAAUAACGGUGAAAUCUUAAUUUUUAUGGUCUGUUGAUAGCCAUACUAUUAUCGGUCCGAUAAUUAUGGUACAGUUACUUGAGGACCAGAAGUAAUUAAGACAAUACCGUGGGAAGUCGAUCUAAAAUUGAUUUAGCAUAUAUUUCUGGUUUUCUUGAUGGAGAUGGAAGUCUUAUGCUUCAAAUAAAGAAGCGCAAAGAUGGUAAAAAGAAAUGGAGAUUUAUGUCUACUAUUUGUUUUUACCAGGAUAGUCGUCAUGACAAACCGUUAAAAUGGAUAAAGAAAGUCCUAGGAAUAGGAUAUUUAUCAAAACGGAAUGAUGGUAUGACAGAAUUAAGGAUAAAUGGAUUUAAACAAAUCAAAGAUAUUCUUAAAGAGAUUAAUCCUUUUCUCAGAUUCAAGAAAAAUCAAGGAUAUGCAAUGUACUCUGCUGCUAGUAUUUUAAGCAAGGGAGCUUUGAAUAAAAAGCAGUUAAUAAAGCUAGUUGACUAUAUUAUUGAUAUUCAAAACAAUAAUUAUGUAACUAAGAAAAAGAGAACAAAAGAGGAGUUAUUAAAAGUUUUAGAUCUGACCCCGUAACGACUUGUUCCCGAGCUCGAAAGAGUGGAGGACGGAUAGAGGUUUUUUAACUUCUAUAAGAUGCCGAUCUCCCAAAUCGCAUGAGCGAUUGGAGAAAGAUAUAGUCUACCCAUAUAGUGAUAUAUGAAUAUGUGACGAGAGGACCGGGAUGAACGAACCUCUGGUGUAUGAGCUGUUCUGCCAAGAGCAGUGCUCAGUAGCUAUGUUCGGUUCUGAUAAGCGCUGAAAGCAUAUAAGCGCGAAGCAGGCUCCAAGAUUAAGUAUCGUGGACGCAAGUCCAAUGAUUCCUUGUAGAUUACGAGGUUGAUAGGGCUCAGGUGUAAGCAUAGUAAUAUGUUCAGCCGAGAGCUACUAAUAAAUCAUAAUAUUGAGUAA
rnacentral:rRNA from 1 species